rnacentral:rRNA from 1 species
GGGGAAUAUUGCGCAAUGGGGGGAACCCUGACGCAGCAACGCCGCGUGAGUGAUGAAGGCCUUCGGGUCGUAAAGCUCUGUCAUUGGGGAAGAUAAUGACGGUACCCAAUGAGGAAGCCACGGCUAACUACGUGCCAGCAGCCGCGGUAAUACGUAGGUGGCGAGCGUUGUCCGGAAUUACUGGGCGUAAAGGGUGCGUAGGCGGGAUUUUAAGUCAGAUGUGAAAACCCAGGGCUUAACCUUGGGAUUGCAUUUGAAACUGAAGUUCUAGAGUGCAGGAGAGGAAAGCGGAAUUCCUAGUGUAGCGGUGAAAUGCGUAGAUAUUAGGAAGAACACCAGUGGCGAAGGCGGCUUUCUGGACUGUAACUGACGCUGAGGCACGAAAGCGUGGGGAGCAAAC